GGCUUCAACAACCCCGUAGGUGGGGACACACGGUCAGCGCACCUACUGGAGCC
rnacentral:sRNA from 1 species